UACGAAGGGGGCUAGCGUUGCUCGGAAUCACUGGGCGUAAAGCGCACGUAGGCGGCUUUUUAAGUCAGGGGUGAAAUCCCGGAGCUCAACUCCAGAACUGCCUUUGAUACUGAGAAGCUUGAGUCCGGGAGAGGUGAGUGGAACUGCGAGUGUAGAGGUGAAAUUCGUAGAUAUUCGCAAGAACACCAGUGGCGAAGGCGGCUCACUGGCCCGGUACUGACGCUGAGGUGCGAAAGCGUGGGGAGCAAACAGG
rnacentral:rRNA from 1 species